rnacentral:rRNA from 1 species
UGGGUGAGUAACGCGUGGGUAACCUGCCUUAUACGGGGGGAUAACAGUCAGAAAUGACUGCUAAUACCGCAUAAGCGCACAGAGCUGCAUGGCUCGGUGUGAAAAACUCCGGUGGUAUAAGAUGGACCCGCGUUGGAUUAGCUAGUUGGUGAGGUAACGGCCCACCAAGGCGACGAUCCAUAGCCGGCCUGAGAGGGUGAACGGCCACAUUGGGACUGAGACACGGCCCAG